GAUGAACGCUGGCGGCGUGCCUAAUACAUGCAAGUCGAGCGAACGGACGAGAAGCUUGCUUUUCUGAUGUUAGCGGCGGACGGGUGAGUAACACGUGGAUAACCUACCUAUAAGACUGGGAUAACUUCGGGAAACCGGAGCUAAUACCGGAUAAUAUUUUGAACCGCAUGGUUCAAAAGUGAAAGACGGUCUUGCUGUCACUUAUAGAUGGAUCCGCGCUGCAUUAGCUAGUUGGUAAGGUAACGGCUUACCAAGGCAACGAUGCAUAGCCGACCUGAGAGGGUGAUCGGCCACACUGGAACUGAGACACGGUCCAGACUCCUACGGGAGGCAGCAGUAGGGAAUCUUUCGCAAUGGGCGAAAGCCUGACGGAGCAACGCCGCGUGAGUGAUGAAGGUCUUCGGAUCGUAAAACUCUGUUAUUAGGGAAGAACAUAUGUGUAAGUAACUGUGCACAUCUUGACGGUACCUAAUCAGAAAGCCACGGCUAACUACGUG
rnacentral:rRNA from 1 species